CAUUUCCACCAUUGCAUCGUGAAGCUUUUCUCACUUUUUUUGCAUACAUGCCUCCGAUGAAUUGGGGAACUAGAGGCUGAGGGCAUGGAAGGCCUCCGAUGAAUUGGGAAGACCCUAUUCCUGCGGGGAAAUGUGGAUCCAGCUUGGGCAGCUGUGCGUAUAGUAAUUGGCAGGUUGGCAAAAGUUUUCUUAUGUCUGAUACAUGUCACGAUGAUAAUGAAACAUGUUAAUCUCUCAAUAUACAUUAUUAUCUCUUUAUAUAGAUACUUCCAACAAAUAUUGAUCUGAAUUUUUCCUUCAUUAUUGUAGAAUUUUGGAAAUUGUUGCUUUGAGUCAUUACAAUUUUAACAUAGCACUCUUUAUUACUUGAGCUAAACAACCCACACCCAAAGUACAAGUAUAAUAUUUUAAGAUGCAUUUUUCAUAAUAUUGUCAUAUAUAUCCCAUAUGAUCUAUGUGGAACAUUAUUUAGGGUUCAUCCAUAUUGGUUCUAGAGAAAGUUUUUGCUCUGGGUCCAUUGAUGGUAGGAGUGGGUUUUGACUUCUCCUUGACCUUAUUAAUGACCAAGAAUAGAACUCGAUAAACAACAAUCAUUCCAAACAUGAUAACAAGAUCAACCCACUUAGAGUGACCCAUUUGCACAUGCCAUGUCCCAGUUAGUAUAUCUUUACCACUAACAGUUGUGGUACCUCCAUCUUGAUACCCAGCAAAUGUUAAGCCUUCAAAUUCAUUCUUGAAUGAUCCUUGUAUAGCAUAUGUGAGAAAGGAAAUGUAGUAGCAAGGGUACUUCCAUAAUGGCUUUGGAAGAUCGUUAGGAUGUCGAUAAAAUCCACCUGUUAAAAUUGCAAGUCCUUCAACUCCUCCAGCAAUGAUCACACCCAUCACAAAAUUUGGGAAGAUACUCCCCACAACCAUCAUAAGACUCUCAACCCACAUCAUAAUGGCAAAUAGGAUAGAAGCAAAGUAUAAAUAGUGCUCUAGUCCUUUGUGCAGUCCAGAAAGGUAACAAAUUAUUACUCCGGAAAUGAGAGAGAUCAUUAGCAUGUAAGGAAUAGCAGAUAAUAUGUUGCCAAUUAGAAAAGCAGAAAUACCAUAGUGCCCAUUCAAUCUCUCUCGUUCAAACACCUAAUGAUAUGGUGGAACGAACAUUUUUAGUUAGAAAUGAAAUCAAUAUUGCAGAUGCAUUUGUAUCCAAAAUUAUAUAAAUUGAUAUAACUCAAUCAAUAUUGCCCAUAGUUAGUUUUAUUUUUCUUGUCUUCAUAAAUUGAUAUAACUCAAUCAUGUACCAAAAAAAUUGAUAUGACUCAAUAAAAAAAAUUAAACAAUUUUUUUAAAAAAUAAACCUCGGAGUUCAAUGCACUGAAGCUUCAAUUUAUGAAAGACAAGAAAUUUACCUUCAUUUCCUCAAUCAAGGGAGAGAAUCCACCAACAAGUGUCAUGAAAGACACGAGUGAUAUAAAAAAUGAAAUUAGCGACCCUCUGACCUGAAACAUACCAUGAAGCAUAUACCAUGUAAGAGGAUAAAAUUACAGUUCAAGUUUAUAAAUCACCAGAGUGUUAACAACAUAUUCUCUAACACAUUUUUUGUAACACAUUUUUUUCUGGUUGAAAUUGACAGAGUCCAACUGAAUUAUGGUUCCAUAUAAGUAUAUGAAUUUCAAAUAAUAAGGAAUAAUGUGUUAAGAGAUUGUCUUACUAGCAUAUUUAGUACAUCAUUAACUAACACAGAGAAAGACUUUAAACAUCAUAAACAUGAGAGUAAACUAUAUUUCAUUACUUUGAUACACAUAAAAAUAGUAAAGAAAUAUUUGUAAGGCCUUGUUCAACUAGCCUCAUAAACACGAGAGUAAACUAUAUUUCAUUACAACUAAAGACGUUUUAUAUUACGAGUGAUAUAAGAUGUUUAUUUCUCUUUUAAAGCAUGCUUCAUUAUCAUAUCGUAUAUUACCUGAAUAGAUGGAUUACUUGUACCGACGUGAUAGAAGAUAGAGCCCAGGCUUAUAGCCGAAGCAAUAAAGACAGCAAGACGUAACCAGUAAUUGCUUAUGUCACGAUACAAUUGCAGAGAAGAUCUUUUUAUAAGAACCAUGCACUGAGUUUGAAAUGGAGCAUGGAUCCUCCUAUUCCUUAUUGCACCCAAAUCCUAGCACAUACAAUUUCAUGAAACAGAUAGUUAAAUCAUGCAGUUCACACUGUUUCUGUGGUUGACCAUCUUGAUAUGUGGUCUUUGGUGGAUUAAUACUUAAAAUUCACUCUAAACUCUAGCGACGACCCUUGGAAGUAGAAAUUCAUGGUCUUCCACAUUCUUACUACUAAGAUAUAACCUAAUAUGCGCCCGUUCUACAAAAAUAAGGAAAAGUUAAUAUGAAUUGAGCUUUGAGACAUAUUUGUUUUCACUUAUUUUUGUAAAACUGACAUUGAUAAAGUCACCACCUCAGCCAUGAAGAUGAGGAGGGCGGGAACUUCUACUUUCAGAAGGCAACAUUUAUCCUCGUUGAAGUUUCAAACGAUUUUCAAGUAUUGAUCUAUGCUUAACCAUCUAUCAAAGUGAUCUCUAGCAGAAUUUGCCUAUAGAGCUUGAUGUUGGCUUUGAAAAGUGUGCUAUAUUCUGUGUUUUUUUAGUCCAAGUCUAAUUGAGUAAUUUACUAUGAUACUUACACUUUCACUUAUUUUUGUCACUUCGAUCUGAACUUGGCUUUUAAUUUCUGACGCCUUAUAAGAAUUUACAAGGAUACCAAUUGCUUCUUCAGUAAUUACUCCUUUACCAAAUCCUUCUUCAGUGUCCUGAAAACAAAUUAGACGAAUCAAUUAUGUUUCAGUUAUUCAACUGUUUUUUCCUUCUAAUCUAGAAGAUUUUGUAUAUAUUUAACUGUAAAAUGUCACAAUAAACAAACCAAAUUAGCAACAAAAGUUUAGAAAGGAAAAACCUCUAAUUCUACUGUUUGGUGACAAAGAAAUUAGAAGUAAAACAUAAAUUAUUAUACUGUAGUAUAUGAUACAUCUAAAGUUCCCAGAGCUUUCAAAUAAACACUAUUUAAACUCAGGGUUUGCAGAUAUACAUACCUGUUCAAAAUCUUUGUUUAUGAUCCUUAAGUAGUGAUCAGAAGGAUUAUAGAGAGUUGGGCAAGGGAAACCAUUUGAAGCAUAAAACUGCACGAAUCAAUGUCACUAUGCAUGUAUUUAGUUAACUUAAAAUCAAUAUGUGCUACAAGGAUUUUAUUCCUAACCUGAUUUGCUUCAGAUGCUGGACCAAAAUAUACCGUCUCCCCAGACGAAAGAAGGCAGAGGUCAUGGAAAAGCUCAAAAACUUCACUACUAGGCUGAUGAAUGGAGGCAACUAUUGUCCUUUGAAUACCAUCCCUUAGGCUCAAACUUGCAAUUCUACUCAUAACAUAGUAGGAAGCCGCACUAUCAAGUCCACUGGUUGGUUCGUCAAGGAAAAGGAGUCUGGGGUGUGUUAGGAUCUCAAUGCAAAUGCUAAGUCUUCUCUUUUGCCCCCCACUUAGGCCCUUAGAACCGUACCCUCCAACCCUUGUGUUAAUAGCAUCUUGCAGGCCCAUUUCUCUGAGUGUGAUAUCUGCUUGUUUCUUCUUCUCUGCUAUGGACAUUGAGUUUGGAAAUUGAAGUUGAGCUGAGUAGUAUAAAGUUUCACCAGCUGUUAAAGUUGACGGCAUAGCAUCAUCUUGUGUUACAUAACCCUGAUAAAUUUACAUGGUGCAUGGUAUCAGAAAGGCAUGUAAAUUGCAGUAGACUACUAGUACUAAUCACCUGCUAAAGCAUCAAGGAAUGUGGAUUUGCCACAGCCUGAAGGUCCCAUUACAGCCAAAAGCUUCCCUGGCUGGGCAUAACCUGUAAGUCCA